rnacentral:rRNA from 1 species
ACUGCUCAGUAACACGUAGUCAACCUAACCUAUGGACGGGAAUAGCCUCGGGAAACUGAGAAUAAUGCCCGAUAGAACACUAUAUCUGGAAUGGUUUGUGUUCCAAAUGAUUUAUCGCCGUAGGAUGGGACUGCGGCCUAUCAGUUUGUUGGUGAGGUAAUGGCCCACCAAGACUAUUACAGGUACGGGCUCUGAGAGGAGUAGCCCGGAGAUGGGUACUGAGACACGGACCCAGGCCCUAUGGGGCGCAGCAGGCGAGAAAACUUUGCAAUGUGCGAAAGCACGACAAGGUUAAUCCGAGUGGUUUCUGCUAAAGGAACCUUUUGUCGGUCCUAGAAACACCGAUGAAUAAGGGGUGGGCAAGUUCUGGUGUCAGCCGCCGCGGUAAAACCAGCACCUCAAGUGGUCAGGAUGAUUAUUGGGCCUAAAGCAUCCGUAGCCUGCUCUGUAAGUUUUCGGUUAAAUCUGUAGGCUCAACGUACAGGCUGCCGGGAAUACUGCAGAGCUAGGGAGUGGGAGAGGUAGACGGUACUCGGUAGGAAGGGGUAAAAUCCUUUGAUCUAUUGAUGACCACCUGUGGCGAAGGCGGUCUACCAGAACACGUCCGACGGUGAGGGAUGAAAGCUGGGGGAGCAAACCGGAUUAGAUACCCGGGUAGUCCCAGCUGUAAACUAUGCAAACUCAGUGAUGCAUUGGCUUGUGGCCAAUGCAGUGCUGCAGGGAAGCCGUUAAGUUUGCCGCCUGGGAAGUACGUACGCAAGUAUGAAACUUAAAGGAAUUGGCGGGGGAGCACCACAAGGGGUGAAGCCUGCGGUUCAAUUGGAGUCAACGCCGGA